rnacentral:sRNA from 1 species
CCGACGCGGAUUACGGUGGCGG